rnacentral:rRNA from 1 species
CCUACGGGUGGCAGCAGUGAGGAAUAUUGGUCAAUGUGCGGGAGCCUGAACCAGCCAAGUCGCGUGAGGGAAGACGGUCCUAUGGAUUGUCAACCUCUUUAGGCGGGGAGCAAUGCCGGGCACGCGUGCCCGGAUGGAGAGUACCCGCAGACUAAGCCUCGGCUAACUCCGUGCCAGCAGCCGCGGUAAUACGGAGGAUGCGAGCGUUAUCCGGAUUUAUUGGGUGUAAAGGGAGCGGAGGCCGGCUUUUAAGUCAGCUGUGAAAGUCCGCGGCGCAACCGUGGAAUUGCAGUUGAAACUGGAGGCCUGGAGUGCACACAGGGAUGCCGGAAUUCAUGGUGUAGCGGUGAAAUGCUUAGAUAUCAUGAAGAACUCCGAUCGCGAAGGCAAGUGUCCGGGGUGCAACUGACGCUGAGGCUCGAAAGUGCGGGUAUCAAACAGGAUUAGAUACCCCUGUAGUC